rnacentral:lncRNA from 1 species
UAGAUUCUCCGGCCACCACCAUCUGAGUCAUUUUCUUGAAAAGAAAUUCAGAUUCCAAAAUUCCCUUUUAUCACUGCAGAUUUUGUUUCCCUCCGGCGGGAACUGUAAGAACCCGUUUGGAAAAAAUGGUCAUAUAAAGAGGUGGUCAACUUUGCAGGCCGUAUAAAGUUAGUUCUGGUUUUCUUUUCAAGAUUUUAGCGAGCAGCAGUCAGCAGUCAGAACCAGAAAAUUAGAUGGGAAUGUAGGUAUGCUUCAUUGGCUAAAGUUAUUAUUAUGAUGAAGAUAAACCAUGCCUUUUCAGUUUGGACUGUGGGAGUGGGACCCACCCGGGGCUUCCAUUACCAUCAACAAGCAAGUAUCCUGUAUCCUAGAAGCUAGAGAGGAGUGGGCGUAAGUGCGUAGAUGGGGUGCUACGGCAUGUAAUUGGGAUAAAAGUAAGGGUAAAUUCCUCGACCGGUCCCCAAACUUUCAUAAGUAUGUCAAUUCUGUCUCAAGCCUUUCAUUUAUAGUAUUAAUGUAAUAAAGGACCAAAUUGUUUUACAAAGAUUUUCUUUAUUUAAAAAACUAAACGACUACUGUUCAAAUUGAACUAAUUUUGACUCUUUUUUGAACAAUUGUACCUUUUUCGAUCAAACAUUAUGUGCAUUUUGAAUAGUUAUUUAAUACCUAAAUAUACAUUUUCUAUCAUGUAGAGAUAUUGCGCGUACAAUGUUAAAAUAUUGGGAGCACGAGACCUAUUCUUAUGAAAUUUGGAAAUCCUAGACGAAUUUACCCUAAAAGUAAAGAUGGAAAGGGUUAUGAGAUUUGGAUUUGUUAAAUUUGAUGAAAUCUUCAUAAGUUUUAGGGUUUUGAAAAUAUGAUUUUCAUUACAUUUGUGAGCAAUGAAUUUUGUCAUUUUUGGGUUUUAAUCUUUGCAGGUUAUGUUAUUUACUGUAUAUGAUUUGUGAUUCAUUGCACUUCUAAUUCUUGCAAACUAUAUUCAUUGUAUUUUUGUAGGGACGUCAUCAAGAUGAAAUUAAAUAAAUAAAUUUAUAUAUCUUGACGAUAAACAAAUAACGAUUAAACCCAAAAAAUGAAAUAAAAUAAAAUCGAUGAUUCCACCGGACAGAAAAAUUCUUUAUUUGGCACAUAUUUCCCUGGAAAUAAUAAUAAACAAGACUUCGUAUUAUGUUUUCCCCAGAAAAUUGCAAGUAAAAAUCAAUUUUAAGAUUCUAUUCAACCCAUUUCACCAAAUUUUCCAAAGCAAAAUCAAAACUCAAACAGUCCAAUUUAGAAUAUAAAGCUUAUUGCAUUCACCAAAUACAAAACACUGAAGCAUGCAAUUUUUGCGCAGAACCUUACCAUUGUUGUCAAGAACAUGAAGAGCAAUGACCCAAUCACCAGCCUGAGCGACUUUCACGAGAGCCCACGUCAGCAAUUCCCGGCUCUGAGAAUCCAGCUUCAUCCCCACCACCACCGUCCUUCCGCCGGAGCUAGAUUCUCCGGCCACCACCAUCUGAGUCAUUUUCUUGAACAGAAAUUCAGAUUCCAAAAUUCCCUUUUAUCACUGCAGAUUUUGUUUCCCUCCGGCGGGAACUGUAAGAACCCGUUUGGAAAAAAUGGUCAUAUAAAGAGGUGGUCAACUUUGCAGGCCGUAUAAAGUUAGUUCUGGUUUUCUUUUCAAGAUUUUAGCGAGCAGCAGUCAGCAGUCAGAACCAGAAAAUUAGAUGGGAAUGUAGGUAUGCUUCAUUGGCUAAAGUUAUUAUUAUGAUGAAGAUGAACCAUGCCUUUUCAGUUUGGACUGUGGGAGUGGGACCCACCCGGGGCUUCCAUUGCC